CAACUUACCUAUCAGAGGGGGAUAGCCCGGCGAAAGUCGGAUUAAUACCCCAUGAAACAGGGGUCCCGCAUGGGAACAUUUGUUAAAGAUUCAUCGCUGAUAGAUAGGCAUGCGUUCCAUUAGGCAGUUGGCGGGGUAACGGCCCACCAAACCGACGAUGGAUAGGGGUUCUGAGAGGAAGGUCCCCCACAUUGGUACUGAGACACGGACCAAACUCCUACGGGAGGCAGCAGUGAGGAAUAUUGGUCAAUGGCCGAGAGGCUGAACCAGCCAAGUCGCGUGAAGGAAGAAGGAUCUAUGGUUUGUAAACUUCUUUUAUAGGGGAAUAAAGUGGAGGACGUGUCCUUUUUUGUAUGUACCCUAUGAAUAAGCAUCGGCUAACUCCGUGCCAGCAGCCGCGGUAAUACGGAGGAUGCGAGCGUUAUCCGGAUUUAUUGGGUUUAAAGGGUGCGUAGGUGGUGAUUUAAGUCAGCGGUGAAAGUUUGUGGCUCAACCAUAAAAUUGCCGUUGAAACUGGGUUACUUGAGUGUGUUUGAGGUAGGCGGAAUGCGUGGUGUAGCGGUGAAAUGCAUAGAUAUCACGAAGAACUCCGAUUG
rnacentral:rRNA from 1 species